GCGAACAAUAUGACAAUGGCUGCGUUCAGAAAACAAAGGAGAUCAGUGAGCCUUCAUCAUGAUUGGUUUCUGCACAGAUCCAGCGAAGAUCUAAAGGCAAGAACCAAUUAUAUUAAAGAAUCACUGAGCGCUCACUGAUCUGCUUUGUCUUCUGAACGCAGCCGUUCUCUAGUAGAAAUCAUAGAUCUCACAGAAAGAUCUUUCCUUUUGCGAUUAGUUAAAAUUAAUCGUGUUGCCUAGACGAAGCUAGGUAGGAACAGGGAAAAUGCUAAGUCAUGAUUACUUUUGCUAAGUGCAAUGAUCCUGGUCUCCAAAUUUGAAUCUUGACAUCUGCCAAAAAGGUCCUCCCCCGUGCAAUUUUAUUUGACAUCUCUGCGCUACAUUCUUGUUGCUGAAAACGAACAUUGUUUAACAGCCGUAAAUAUGCAUGGAAUUUUAAUGAGCCGACAACUGGCGGCUUACUCUCAUUCGUCUUAUACGUAAUUCGCGCGACGUCAGAUGCGUGAACGAGCCGAGUCCAAGUACAAUGGAGCGCGAUAAUUAUAAACGAGCAUUUAAAUGCAUCGCGUUUGAUAAGCGCUGCGCUGCUGCGGCGACAAAACCGCUCGCGUUUUCAAAAUCCCUGUAUUCCUGUAUCGUUCGGCACAGCCGUUGCGCGCUGAUAAUAAGAUCGCACGCACUACCGUCGAACUCCAUCGUAAGAGUACCUCUCGCUAAUCCCCCGGAAUCCGCUGAAUCCGAGUAAACCCGAGUGACUUUCGCGUCGAUCUCGACAAAGCGAGAGGAGCGGCGCGAUUAUUUCGACGAUCUAAUUGCCGAGAAAACAAGAGCAAGUCAUAUCUUCGUGAGAUUUUCCAAGCUUCAUGAUAAUACGCGCGUUGCGUCGUGUUCAAGUGGCGCGUCGCGAUGAUAAGAACUCGCAAGGCGACGGCUUCGUUCCGAGUCCGACGACGCGGGCUUCAUAACAGUAAGGAGAACAUCUCGGCGACGUUGAGGAUCUCGCGGAGUUGCAAGAGUCGAUUGCUGAGGAACUACGAGAUCGUGUUGCGCUGGCUGAGAAGCAGAAGGUCGGCGAUAUGCGAUGAGCGGGUACCGUGCGCGUAUCAGGAGGAGGAAGAGGCGCAUUUGCGAAUGCUCGAGAGCCCGGAGCGGUGAGUGCAUCGUGAUGCGCUUCGAGUUUUUUGUGUCACACAUUGCGAGGUGUCACGCAACUCUUACUUGACGGAUAAUCAUAAGUUUAUAAAUUUACAACGAGAUUUUUUUUGUAACAGGCAUUUAAGCACUUAAGAAACAUCUAGUCCACGAGAUAAGUUUGGAAAUCGAUUGAAUUAUAUCACAGUACCGAUAAAUGGGAUUACCGAUCAUUGAAAUGACGCAGUAUAUUCUUUUGAUAUAUUUUUCUGGUUGUCACAUUUAUAUUAUCUUAUCGUUUUUCUCUAUGCAAGCUUCAUAACAUAUGGAAUUAUGAAAGUAACGUGAAAGUGAGGCAAUAUGUAGAUUUUUAAACUGCUCUUUCGGUAUCUGUAUCUUUCAUAUACUUAUAAGAUUUAUGGAUAAUUUACAUAGUGUUUUGAAAACAUAUUUUGUACGCAUAACAUACAAAAUGCGCGAUUAAGAUUUGUAUAAUUCUUGCAUCUGUCAGAAAGAUUUAGUUUCGCAAGAAGUUUAUCAGCUUACACAACUGUUAGUAGUUGAUCUAUUUGUAUCACUAAUGAUAGAUAUUAUCUCACGCAGCGCUCAGAUAUUUUUUUUGAACGAGAUUAAUUCCACGUGUUUUCUGCUUAAAAAGCAACUAAUUAAAGCAAAGUAAAGCAUUAAAUAUUAAUAUACGUAUUGAUUCUCUGAAAUCUGAUCUGAUCUGAUCUGUUGAAAAUUUAUGAGAGAGAUUUAUGAGAAAUGGAUUUUACGUCUAGGGUUUUAUUUUAAGAUAUAAAAUUAUUUAAAGACAUAAAGACAUAAAAUAUUCACGUGUAAUUAACGUCAUCCAAAACUGGAAAUCUUAAUUGACAUUUCCAAAUAAGUUAAUGCAGAUAAGUAAUUCCUCAACAAAACGACAUCUUGGCAUUUAUUGAGAAAAUUUCAUUUAACAGUGUUCAAUAUUCCUUCAUGGUUCAUUUGUUUGUUCUUGUCAUUAGAGGGAAUUAUUUCUCCGAUAAGAUUUAAUGACUUGAUGGACGCAUGAAGGUAUACCGCUGAACUGUCGUUAAUAGCCACAUUAACAAAGUAAUGUUGUUCAAUACGUAAUGUCUGACAUUUUAUUUGAAAAGCGUUAUUACAAGUCAGUCCUAAUCUCGCAAUUUCUCGCGCGAUACACUCGGCCUCGGAUAACGAACGUACAAUAAGCCAUUACGCGCUGAUCAAUACGUUUCAUAAGCAAAACGCCCGCGUUUGCUAAUAUAUUUUUAGAGCAUUUUUUCCUUUCUCUUUCUCGCCUCACUCAAGGGUGGUAUCCGAAAAUAAAUUGUUAAAGAAUUCCUUUGUAGUAUUCUUAGUCUUAUUUGUACAUCUGCCGAGAGAAUGCCUGGAAUGCGAAUGAGGGUGCGAACGAGUUUGGCGGUUCCUUUCGAUAUAUCGACAAACUUGAAGCAUGAUAUCUGACAACACAUCUUUUAAAAACAAACUAACGCGUUUUUCCAUUGCACAAUUAUUCAGAUAAAUUUUCUAAACCAUGAAAUUAUGAACAUUGCACAUCUCUUACUAUAUCAUUUCAAUGAAAUAAAAUAGAAAUAGAUAUAAAUACAAACAUUUCUCGCGUAUUUAUGAAAAGUGUUCGUUGGAUGUUCAAGAAAAUAAGAAAAAGUUUCGAUAUUACAGAUCCGUCGUUAUGACAUUUCAAAUCGCAUUUCUCGACUGGGAAAUAUCGGAUUUGCUUCACGGAAGCUGCAGCUUCUAAAGUCGUCAGACAAUGGCGAGAGAUGAAUUUCGCGAGCGGCGAUAUCCUCGAUUUAGAUCCGAUUUAGAUCCGACAUCGACGACGACGAGUCGGGCGGGCCAAGGCGACGGUGGACGGUCGUUGUCAACGCCUAAAUGAGUUUGCAUUUAAACUACCGCGUAGCCAAAGUGCAUCGUCGUUGAGACGAAUUCAUCUUGUCAAUUUGUCGCGACGCCUUCGCUCUAUAUAGCUCGACCCCUGCUCGACUUUUAAUAGAAUCCGCGACAAAUACCUAACAAUGCGAUCGAUACGACGGAUUACGCCGAAAUUGGCAUGCGUCCCACGCUCAUUUAUAUAAUAAAACUUAAAUUACGACAGCUUGUCACGCGAUAUGGCGGAGGGGUGUUAGUUUAUAUCACGUAUUUAACGUUAAUUUUAAUGUUGCAUUAAAAGUUUAAUGUUGCCUCGAAGAUUUUAUCGACGCUAAAGAGUUGGAUUUAGGAGAACGACCGCGGUUGUUGACAAUUUUCCAGCUGCAAGCAAUUAACACUCGAGAGACGUUAGUUCUCCGCGGAAGAUUUCAGUUCCGCAGAAGUUUCUCAGAUAUUCGAUCUUUGUAGAAGCAUUGUUGAAAAAAGGGCAAAAUUAUUAUUGGAAAUUCUAUUGUAAUUUUCAGUUAUAUUCCUAAUUCUUGAAAAUUAAUGCGUUGAAACGACUUUGUAUCGGGCACGAUACGAUUUCUUAUACAGAAAUACAUAGGCUAUACAGGCUGUAAUUAUAAUGACGAUUAACAGUGUGUGUCGUACCAGUCUGCUUUUACCUGCACAUAGAUAUAAAUGAACGUCCCGCUUUAAGCGUCAUGCUUCUGCAAUUAAACGCACGGGGGGGGGGGGGGAUCACGUAUUCAGUUUCGCCAUGUCGCAUGCUUCGCCGCAAUCAAAUCAAUGCCUUUUUGCAGAAUUUUCCAUUGCGCUCUCGCGAAACGAAAGCGUUUUCCACGUCACUGCUGGUGUAUCGAUUAUUGUCAUUUAGCGAGGCGGGCGAUAUUGAAAAAGGAAAAAAAGGAAACGCGUGCAGCGACAUAUUCCCAAUCGCAUGGUGUACGCAAUACACGGCCGUUUCCUCUUCCGCAUGCAUGUCGCCAAUAAAUUAACGUUAUUUAUGGGCAGCCGCAAUUCCGCGCGCGCGAAAACCACUUGGCAUACGGGUUACGUACGCACAAUAGAGAAUCCUGUUACGUAUACGGAGUUUUUUUUAUAAUUAUUGCAACUCUAGAUUAGAAAUUAGACAGGUAAAGAUAGGAAGAUUAACCCCAUCGUAUUGGCUGAUAAGAAAUCUGUCUGCAAAUUUACUGAUACUUUACUGACACGUUCCUGGAAACAGACAUAAUUUUUUCGAAAUGGAAGGCAUUGUAUUGACCGAAAAAUCCGUGCGGAAAAAAAUCGACUCGGACCUUCCGGUCAGUCCAAUAUUUUUGAUGUAUAAAUAUUGAGUUGUUCGGAACGUUCGCGCGGUUUUUAAAUAAAAUUCAAAGACAUUUUUUUAUAUAUUCCACUACCAUUUGCCAUCUUUGAGCAAGUUUCAUGAUUCUGGAUUACCAAAAGUCAUCAUUUUUCUGAGCAAUGAAUUGCACAAGGUAAUUUUUGCAGCCCUCUAAAGAUGUAAAGUUUUUACCAUUCAAGGAAUUUUCAAGGCUUCGAAAUAAGUGGUAAUCAGAGGGUGCUAGGUCGGGUGAAUACGGGUGCGGUAGAACAUCCCGUCCAAGCUGCAACAAUUUUUGCUGAGUCUGCAAAGAGACAUGAGGUCUGACAUUAUCCUGGUGAGAGAUGGUGACACCUUUCCGAUUGACCAAUUCGGGACACUUUUCGUUGAUCGCUGCCUUCAAACGGUCUAAUUGGGCACAGUAUUUGUCCGAAUUAAGCCUUCCAGUCAGCCCAAUAUUUUUGAUACAUUUUUGAUAUAUUUAAUAUAGUUUGAUUUUAAUGAUAGAUCUAGCUUAAUCUAAAACCAUUUGCCGAUACAAAAAUAUUACAUGGAUCCUUGUUUGAAUUUCUGUGUUACAAAUUCGCAGAUUUUUACGGGAAUCAGGAGGAACUGUAUCGUCGUAAUGCAUAGUAGUAAAUUGGGGCACAACCGCAGGUCUUUAUAGGAUUCCCCGAAUGUGCCGCGCGAGUGUUUGCCUCACUCACGAAAUGGAGUCCUAAGGUUUCGCAGGCUGUAAGCCUUUGAUAUUAAGGUUAAUCUACUUGAUCUAGUUUUCUCCCGGUUUUGUGCCAGGGUUUUCCGAUAGUGGCAUAUUAGCUGCAGUUAAUAUCCCACACACUGGAAAGUGCACUUUCUAUGUUUUUAAUCGCGGAAGCGUGAGCGCGAUCAAACGCUACUUUUCUUUUAACACUACUUUUCUUUUAAUCCGCGUAAUCCAAGAUGGCAAAUUAGAUUUUGAGCUAAUAAUUUAGAGUAUUAUUUCAAUCGAUAAUUUUAAUCCUCACAUUGUUAUUCUUCUCUCUUUGAAUUUAAUAAGCUUCUCGACAGACGCCAUUUUGAAAUCGAUUGUCUUCACAUUGGAAUGAAACUUUCACUCGCGACAGUCAUUGUUUUCUCUUUUUCUCCUUAAAGUCUUCUUUCUCAUCUUUUACAGUAAUUAUCUCGUAACGUACAGCACAUCGUUUCGUCGAACAAUUCUGCAACGAUUCCCAACGUAAUCAAGUCUUCCUUCAUCGAAACAAUUUUAUGGACAUUAAAAGAAGACAAGGGAACAUAAUAAUGCAAGGCCUGACAGAAAAACAAGCAGGAUGCGGGAUCACAUUUCCUAUUAAAGUUCCUCUAUUUCGAGGACCCGCAUUAUCAUCUCGAUAGUAUACGACACCCAUGUGAUUUAUCGGGGAACAAUGCGUUUCCCUUUGAAAGAAAUGUAUCAUAAACUUACACGAUUAUGAUACUCAUCAUUUCCGUGUACUAAUCUUUUGAUUUACGACUUUGUAAAAUUUACUUCUCCUAAUCGACGUCUCUGACUUGCAUUAAUUUAUGUUUGAAAUUUAUAAUUUAUAUUUAUUUAGAUUUAUAUCUAGAUAUUUAUAUUUAUUAAAAUUUAUAUUUUCUUGAUUUUGCAUUUUAAAAAAUGCAUUUUAUAUGUAAAUGAUUAGAAUGUUGAAAUGCAACGUUUAUUUACAUUCGCAUGUUGCACGCGUGGUCAGUAAACCAUACAAAAUAUGUACAAAUCGUAGUGCACAUUUUAUAUUUAAUGUCGUAACGUAAACCAUACAAAAUACGUACAAAUCGUGGUGCACAUUUUAUAUUUGAUGUCGCAAGGUCCUUUGAGAAUUUAAUUAAGGGCAGCCUUGGACUUGGAACUAUUUUUGUCUCGCUGUUAUUCCGUUAUUUCUUUCUCGAUAUUUAAUGCUAACAUACUUACAAAUGUCAUGAAUGUGUCCUACAGAUCAUGUCAUUAUCAUUUUCAUAUGUAUAAAUUUAAUUGUGUUUAGUUUGAUGCAUUGAAUUUCAAAUUCAGAUUAACAACAAGAAGGAUAUGUCACCUGCAUUAGAGUAAAAAUUAAAGCAUUGGAAACAUCCCUUUAAUUUAAUUCCAGUUUCAAUUAUGAUUGAAGAGAGUAGAUUACAUAUCUGCCAGGUGUGUAUACAUCUGAUAAAGAAUUAAAUUUUUUAUGUUUGCCCCAACCUUGUGCUAAUAUAUAGCAGAAUUAAGAUCUGCGAGAAGGGUGUGUCACGUUUGUGAUUUAUCCGUAGGGCGUCGGAGUAACAUCCGGGAGAGACCAAUUUUAAACAGAAACGUUUCACCAUAAUAUCCUCCGGUUUAUCGCGUGGCUUCGUGGGCCCCGUAGCCUAAUAAUCGCCCUGCAAAGAGAACUUGUUCUCCCAUCUUGCUAUUAAUACCGUUUCGUGCUGCAGCCGGUGCUGUUCGCGUUCACGUUGAUCUUUACGAGGCGGUUCGCGUUCGCGUUCGAUUUUACGACGAGGAGAGACCAGCUCGAGGAAGGAACAAACCGGCUAAUGCCGGCUAAAUAUAUAUCGUCGUGAAGAUUUCAGGGCGACCUUUAUACGUGAGCGAGCGACCGUUCGUAUCAGUGUAAAGGCACAUUUUGGAUUACCAUCUAAUAAUAAAAAAUGAAUUGUUAUUAUUAAUUAUUAAGAGCUGCGAAGAAAAGCUUCCAUUGUUCUAAAAUGCGCUUUGAUUCAAAUGUUGAUAUCUUAUUAAGAGUAAGAAAUAUGAGAGAGAAAUCAAAUUAUUAAUUAAAUUAUUACUUUUUAAAAUACAAUCAUGAUUCAAUGACGUCAAUUGUUUUGACUGGGAACUAUUUGAAAUGCUUUGUCUUUUGCUUCUUACGCUCGCAACAUUUACAUACGUAUAUGUUAUGUAUACACUAUAGAAUACGCAAUUAAUGUCAUAACGAAAUUACAAUGCAACUUACAAUGCUAACGAAUCACAUACGAACAAUUUAUUGCGACGUGUGAUUGUUGAUUUUUUACAAUCAUUCGAUAUCGAUUCGAAAAUUAUUGUUCUGCGUGCCGCCAUCAGACACGCAUUCCCCGAUAACAAUGUUUUGAAGGCAAAAGAUUGAAACGAAUAAUUUACACGCUUUAUUUGUCGGGUACCAAAGGGGCAACGAGAGGAAGAAGAAAAGAGAGAACUACAGUGCAACGAACCAUCGUUCUUGUUACUGUUCGGCCUUGUGCGUCGCACUUAUCGUAUGUAGUAUCAAGAGACAUUAAUAAGCGUUUGGCUGAUAAACGAGCGAAUCGCAAUUGUGUGCUCCAUUGGAGCAACAGUGCAUUUUGUAAUAGAUCUUAAUUGCAUCAAAUGGAACGUUGUUUCAAAAUGUAAUUUAAAAGAACUAUAAAUGUUUGACAAAUUAUAAGUAUUUCAAGUAGACUCAAAAGGAAUUUCUUUAGAAAAAUGAAAAAAUAUACAAUAAACAUAUAUAUAUACAUAUAUAUAUAUAUAUACAUAUACAAUAAAUAUACAAAUAUAGACAUUACAAUAUUAAAAACAGAUACAAAAAUAUGAAAAGCGUCUUAAUAAAAGCAGAGAUUAACAAUUAACAUUAAUAUCAAAUUAUCUAAGUGUUAUAUAUGAAAAAUUGCAAGUAUGAGAUGACACUACUAUUAUUCAGUUAAAUCUGUGAGAAACGCAAUUUUAUUAUUCAGCACUUUCGAGCUCCUUUAAUUUAUUUUAAUUAAACCUACCUGUUUUAUGUUUUAUGUAAUUCUGAAUAUUUAAUAUCGAAGCCUUAAUAUAUCGCUGUGAUAAAUGACAGACUUACGUAAUAUACGUUACAGUCUUUCACAUUUGUAUCCGCAAAUUUAAAAUUGGCCUAUUAAAGUGUUAUUUUUAAAAGAUCCUUAAAUAGUGAUUCCAGAAGAAAAAAAUGAUUUGGAUGUGUUAUGAUAUACGUUAUCAUUAUCAGUUUAAUUCACAUCAAUUGUGCAAAGUGCACAGCGAUACGAAGUUUGAAAAAUGAUACGAAGCCAGUUAGACACGACAAAUCCAAGAUUGAUGUCGCGUGAGGCUUCUUGCGCCGGUGUUAUCUGCCGGAUUAAUUAGACGCCCUCCUAAUUCCUAUCCGUCAGUUUUAAUUUUGCUUGCGUUAGCAAUAUUGUUUAUUCUCGUUUAGUCUGCUACCUUAUUAUAUCACGCUUCACGGAUUACAACAUUGAGUGUAUAAUCGUUCCACUAAUCGUUAUAAUCCAUUCGAUUGCAAUAAUUCUCUCAUUUUUUUAUGCAAAUAUAAUAUUUCACAUUAAGAUACUGAUUCAUUUGUGUGAGACAUAAUUAUCUAAUAAAAGUUCAAUGUUCGUCAAAUGAUUGGAAUCUAUGCAGGUGGAUAGUGCACUGUGAGAUUAACAUCAUUCAGCACGCGCGCGCCAGUUAUUCAAUAAAACAAUUUUUCUCGAUAAUACGCGCGUAUUUAAAAAUUCCCGGGAUAUUGAACGGUCAAUUGAAUUUUAUCGAUUACGGAGAGUUUUUAUUGCGAUGCGCGUCGAACUUUGAGUUUGCGAGUUUUUUGCCGGCGAGGCGGAAGAUUAUAUCAGCCUCCGCGCGCGCGUAUGAGCUGCAACACGCCGGUGGCGGCGGUUUCAUCAUCGUCGUCUCCUUUGUCACAGAUAACCCGUAGCGGAGAUAAGACAAAGUAGAUACGGCUGCUGCACGAUAAUUUUUCCCUACGUUGUAUUUAUUAUUACGUCAACGAGCGCGACACGCCGACUCUGCGACGCCACUCGUUCUCAAAAAGAGAGUAUCGCUUCGAGUUGGUGCAUCUUAAUCGCGAGUGACGAUGAAUACGGAGAACGUCGUGCGAUCUAGUGCCAAUAGGAAAUUCAAUAUUUAAAACAGCUCGUUCUCUGAGAACACUGAAUCAGCUAAAUUUCAUUUGACUUUGUGAGAAUGGCCCUCGUAAUUUGCGCUUGAUGUCUCUCUUGAUGGCAACGAAUGUCUCGGAUAUUACGAGCAAAGAUGAAAGCAUAUGCGGCAAGGAAAGUUAUUAAAAUGAUAUAUAAGCUACAUAACUUCUAAGUAAAUUCUAAGCACUAAAUUGCGUUCAUUAUAAUAUUAUUGGGCGUUCAUUAUAAUAAUGAUAAUAUUAUUAUUAAGUAAUAAUAUUAUAAAAUAAUAUUAUUAUUAUUAUUAAAUACAUAUUUGAUAAAUUUUUUAAACAAUGUAUAUAUUUAGAUGUUCAGUAUAAUCCAUUUAUCCUGUAGUAGUUUUAAUUAUGAAGUUUAUUUUCCUUCGUCGAAGUAAUUAGUCUUUAUGUAACUAUAAUUGUAUAUGUAAUUACGAAUUAUAUAAUUACGGAACGAAAGUAUUGAUUCCUAAAAUAAAACGCGUAUCUAAUCGCGACCCGCUUAUACUUCUGUGUGUUUGUGCAAAUAAUAUGCGCACAGGCUGUAUCAUUUAAAGUGGGACGCCUAAGUAUAACUGUUGUUUCCAAACUUGCAAAACAUGCCUUACGUUCGGGUCAAGCUGCAUAUCGCAAUCUUCCGAGCGUUUCUCCAAUUCCGCUUACGCAAUGCGUUGUUUCACAAAUUUGAUGUAAGAAAAGUUAGAUAUCGUUGCGAGCUCUCAUUUAGAAUUUUCCGCCCGUUUCAAUUUAUUUAGACUAUUUAAGCUUAACUGGGAAUUUCCUUUGAGUGCGAUAAGUCUCGCAGAAAUCUCUUAUCCUUGAGCAAAUUCGAAAGAUAUCGGUUUUAAUCUGUGCCCGUCGUAAACAGCAACUGUGAGAACAAUACUGAUUAUUAUUCAAUCCUGUUUUUUAGAUGACUUCUAGAUAAAGCCGUCAUUGCUAUAUCAAAGCUGUAGUUAGCGCAAAUCGAAGAAAAUUCUCGAGGAAAAUCGUUUUAUGCAAUAUGCUAUUGUCGCGAGCGAGUGAAAUGAAGUUUACGUGCAGUCGCGCGUAAAUACGGGAGAAACAAAGUGCCAUAAUCCAGUAAACUACCGUGUUUAUUGCUUCUUAAGUCGCUUUCCAAGUUGAGUCUAGCGUAUAGAAAAUUCUCACAUAACGCCUGUAUAUUGAUUUGAGAAAUGCGCGGCGUUUACACGUGCCAUAAGACGUUUCCACGAGGAAGUAAAAGAAAAAAGUUUUGCUCGAUUGCAAGGCUUGCAAUAAUUUAGUAAUCGGAUCUUAGAUGUGCGCAUCAGGCUUGUACACAGCGAUCGACUUGACAAACGAAACUUUAUACCGCCGUCGCAGUAAAAUAUUGUAUUCCUCACGCGCGAAUAUUAUUUGCUAAAUAUUAUUAAUGUACUACUAAAAAGCUUUAUCUUUUACUGUACUUGACUUACGUAGAAUCUGUAAAUUAUAAUAAUAUCCUAUCAAGAAAUAAGAGCAAGUUCAAUCAGAAUUUAAUUAAAAUAAUUGAACUUAAAUCAAACAAUUGUUUUAGCAAUAAUUUUCGCUGGUUACAAUAUCGCAUAAGGAAUACAAAAGGGAAAUUGGAGAGAGAAACCACUUUUCCUCUUAAUCUCUUGAUAACAUCCGCCAUUUUCAGAAUUAUGUAAAACUCAAUAUCAAUUAUUUUCUAUCAGUGACCAUCUGUCAUUUGUGCAUACAGCAAUCAGGAAAAUACUGAUAGCUUCCUUUGAUAUCGACAGGAGGGGGACGGCACUCCCCCAUUUCUCGAUUACCUGCCAUUGCCUCCCACGGAGCUGCGCUUGACGUACAAAGAUCGUGCGCACAUACAGGUGUUUAAGUAACUGCGCGUACGUGAAAAUGCAGUAAAAGCGUGAGAUGCGCUGCUCGGGAGUUAGGGCGAAGGCGAUAUAGAGAGGCGGCAGAAAGCGACGUGUAUCGAGCGGCGGCGGCGCGACGACGACGACGACGGCGGCGGCGGCGGCGGCGGCGACGACGUGGAGAGAGAAACGCGGCCGCUGAUCGGAGGCGGCGGCGAAGCGCCUCUGCCAGUGUCGGACAGAGACACGGUUUGCUCGCGUCGUCGUCCUGUCUCUCAUGUGUCUUACCGCGUUGCCGUCACACCGUUUUUCUCCGUCUUUUCCUCUCUGUCAUCCCGCGAAUGUAGAAAAGACUGUUGGGAUGUGCGUCCGCACGACCUGAGUGCCAUCAGAUUCUUGUCGCUGCGAGAACCAACAAGGGAGCGUUAACCCCCGGUAACCCCGUCGCGAGGAUCUCGCGAGUUCGCGUGCAAUUGAUCGAUCACCGAUUUCGGCCAGGUUCCAACGGACCUGGAUAUUGCAUGGACGGACACGUUACUCGGAUGAAGUGAGAUGUAGGGUGAAGAAGAAGGGUGAUAUUGAAGAUGGAAGAAGUUGAAGUGAUCAUGAAGGGGAAUUACCCAGGUAAUUGAUGUGGACCGGUCGCGCUUUCUUUUAAUUGGACUUAACUGCGUUUCGCAAAUGGAUCUCGUGGGCAGAGCGCAAGGUGGAUGAGUUGGACGAUUUUAUGGAAAUGGAACUAUUCGAGUAUUCUUAGAGAUUGUCGGAAGACAACCUUGUUGCUGCCACGCAUCAGGUAUCAUUUGGCAAAUUUGUUUCUCACGUUAAUUGUUGAUUUAUGAGCGAAGUGCGAUACAGAGCACGAUAGAAUAAUGAUAAAUUAAUGGAUAGAGGUGUAUAUGCUUUGGCAGUGAUGAGGAGGGAUUUAAUUAUUUUUACACAUCACUAUCAAGUCACAUCUUGCUAGAUUUAUGAGAAAGUUUUGGUUUCGCCGCACACAUGUGAGAAAGAAAAUACCUCGAUAGUAGGACACAACAGACCGUAGAAUGCGGCAGCAUGAGGCACUAUCGACAAACGAAUAUGGAAAUUGAAAUAUUAGAUAUUUGUUAUUAUUCAUGAAAUGUCGAAGAUUUUCUCUACUGAUUCCUGAAAAUUGUAUGCUGAACAUUACUUAUUUUAUAGUAAAAGAUUGCUCCUUUUAACUUCGUCAGCGCAUUCCGAAAAAAAGAAUUAUUGAUUGCUUAACAUUUUAUCAAGAAACUUUCCAUUAUCGAUUACAAAAUAGAGAAAAAUUUGGGAUUAACGAGAACAUCGAUAACAUUUCUACCAUCGAUUAUCAUAGAUGUCUACAAAAUAUCUAUGCAUAUAUUGAUAUCAAAGAGUAAUACUGAUCA